rnacentral:rRNA from 1 species
GAUGAACGCUGGCGGCGUGCCUAAUACACGCAAGUCGAGCGAACAGACGAGGAGCUUGCUCCUCUGACGUUAGCGGCGGACGGGUGAGUAACACGUGGAUAACCUACCUAUAAGACUGGGAUAACUUCGGGAAACCGGAGCUAAUACCGGAUAAUAUAUUGAACCGAAUGGUUCAAUAAUGAAAGACGGUUUUGCUGUCACUUAUAGAUGGAUCCUCCACGCAUUCGCUAGUUGGUAAGGUAACGGCUUACCAAGGCGACGUUUCGUAGCCGACCUUAGAAGGUGAUCGGCCACACUGGCAAGGAAACACGGUCCAGACUCCUACGGGAGGCAGCAGUAGGGAAUCUUCCGCAAUGGGCGAAAGCCUGACGGAGCAACGCCGCGUGAGUGAUGAAGGUCUUCGGAUCGUAAAACUCUGUUAUUAGGGAAGAACAAAUGUGUAAGUAACUAGGCACGUCUUGACGGUACCUAAUCAGAAAGCCACGGCUAACUACGUG